ACUCUCGUACUCUGACCCAAUGAAACGAAAAAAAUUCUUCCAAUGACGAAACCUCUAAGACAUAAGUUACUACCUUCAACUCGAAACUACGAAGAAUCCACUUCAUAUAUUUAGUUCAGCUUCUUAUGUUUAACUUAAAAGGAAAGUUUCAGAGAAAUAAGCACUUACCAAAAAAGCCAGAAGGUUGCCUUUGUCAGGUGAGCUUUUAGCUUGCAGAUGACGUUUUGCAACUCCAGUCUGUCGCCCCAGCCUACCCGUCGUUAGUUGCUCAACUGUCGCAGCUUACUUAGCGCUGAACUAAAUGUAUAAUUAUUUCUUUGAGUGAUGCACUAAAUGUAUGAUUAUAUUUUCUAGUGAUGAACUAAUGUUUCAUGCACUAAUUAGUGACGCAGUACUGCUGCAGAUUAGAGGAA